rnacentral:tRNA from 1 species
GUGACUGUAGCUCAGAUGGUGAGAGCGUCGGGUUGUGGUCCCGAAGGUCGGGGGUUCGAGUCCCCUCAGUCACCCCA